AGUGAACGCUGGCGGUAGGCCUAACACAUGCAAGUCGAACGGCAGCACAGUAAGAGCUUGCUCUUACGGGUGGCGAGUGGCGGACGGGUGAGGAAUACAUCGGAAUCUACUGUUUCGUGGGGGAUAACGUAGGGAAACUUACGCUAAUACCGCAUACGACCUACGGGUGAAAGCAGGGGAUCUUCGGACUUUGCGCGAUUGCAUGAGCCGAUGUCGGAUUAGCUAGUGGGGGGGGAAAAGGCCCACCAAGGCGACGCUCCGUAGCUGGUCUGAGAGGAGGUUGAGCCAAACGGGAACGGGGACACGGCCAAGAUUCCUACGGGAGGAGGCAGUGGGAAAUAUUGGACAUGGGGGGAAAUCUGGACGCACACAGACGGGGUGGGGAAGAAGGUCUUUGGGGUGUAAAAGUCUGUUUUUUGGGAAGGAAAAGCAGCAGGUUAAAACCCCGCUGUUGUGACGGUACCCAAAGAAUAAGCACCGGCUAACUUCGUG
rnacentral:rRNA from 1 species